ACAUGCAGUCGAGCGGUAGAGAGAAGCUUGCUUCUCUUGAGAGCGGCGGACGGGUGAGUAAUGCCUAGGAAUCUGCCUGGUAGUGGGGGAUAACGUUCGGAAACGGACGCUAAUACCGCAUACGUCCUACGGGAGAAAGCAGGGGACCUUCGGGCCUUGCGCUAUCAGAUGAGCCUAGGUCGGAUUAGCUAGUUGGUGGGGUAAUGGCUCACCAAGGCGACGAUCCGUAACUGGUCUGAGAGGAUGAUCAGUCACACUGGAACUGAGACACGGUCCAGACUCCUACGGGAGGCAGCAGUGGGGAAUAUUGGACAAUGGGCGAAAGCCUGAUCCAGCCAUGCCGCGUGUGUGAAGAAGGUCUUCGGAUUGUAAAGCACUUUAAGUUGGGAGGAAGGGUUGUAGAUUAAUACUCUGCGGUUUUGGGGUUAGGGACUGAGGAAGCGCC
rnacentral:rRNA from 1 species